rfam:Parcubacteria bacterium GW2011_GWB1_42_9 TV50_C0011, whole genome shotgun sequence.
UACCGGGUAGUGUAAUUGGUAACACGUCAGGUUCUGGCCCUGAAGACUCUAGGUUCGAUCCCUAGCCCGGUAG